rnacentral:rRNA from 1 species
AGAGUUUGAUCAUGGCUCAGAUUGAACGCUGGCGGCAGGCCUAACACACGCAAGUCGAACGGUAACAGGAAGAAGCUUGCUUCUUUGCUGACGAGUGGCGGACGGGUGAGUAAUGUCUGGGAAACUGCCUGAUGGAGGGGGAUAACUACUGGAAACGGUAGCUAAUACCGCAUAACGUCGCAAGACCAAAGAGGGGGACCUUCGGGCCUCUUGCCAUCGGAUGUGCCCAGAUGGGAUUAGCUAGUAGGUGGGGUAACGGCUCACCUAGACGACGAUCCCUAGCUGGUCUGAGAGGAUGACCAGCCACACUGGAACUGAGACACGGUCCAGACUCCUACGGGAGGCAGCAGUGGGGAAUAUUGCACAAUGGGCGCAAGCCUGAUGCAGCCAUGCCGCGUGUAUGAAGAAGGCCUUCGGGUUGUAAAGUACUUUCAGCGGGGAGGAAGGGAGUAAAGUUAAUACCUUUGCUCAUUGACGUUACCCGCAGAAGAAGCACCGGCUAACUCCGUGCCAGCAGCCGCGGUAAUACGGAGGGCGCAAGCGUUAAUCGGAAUUACUGGGCGUAAAGCGCACGCAGGCGGUUUGUUAAGUCAGAUGUGAAAUCCCCGGGCUCAACCUGGGAACUGCAUCUGAUACUGGCAAGCUUGAGUCUCGUAGAGGGGGGUAGAAUUCCAGGUGUAGCGGUGAAAUGCGUAGAGAUCUGGAGGAAUACCGGUGGCGAAGGCGGCCCCCUGGACGAAGACUGACGCUCAGGUGCGAAAGCGUGGGGAGCAAACAGGAUUAGAUACCCUGGUAGUCCACGCCGUAAACGAUGUCGACUUGGAGGUUGUGCCCUUGAGGCGUGGCUUCCGGAGCUAACGCGUUAAGUCGACCGCCUGGGGAGUACGGCCGCAAGGUUAAAACUCAAAUGAAUUGACGGGGGCCCGCACAAGCGGUGGAGCAUGUGGUUUAAUUCGAUGCAACGCGAAGAACCUUACCUGGUCUUGACAUCCACGGAAGUUUUCAGAGAUGAGAAUGUGCCUUCGGGAACCGUGAGACAGGUGCUGCAUGGCUGACGUCAGCUCGUGUUGUGAAAUGUUGGGUUAAGUCCCGCAACGAGCGCAACCCUUAUCCUCUGCUGCCAGCGGUCCGGCCGGGCACUCAAAGGAGACUGCCAGUGAUAAACUGGAGGAAGGUGGGGAUGACGUCAAGUCAUCAUGGCCCUUACGACCAGGGCUACACACGUGCUACAAU